rnacentral:rRNA from 1 species
AUGGUGACAGGCAUCUGCGACCUCCCGGCGGACUGCCUGGCGCUGGUCGCGUCCCUGACCUCCCCCGGGGACGCGUGCAGGCUGGCGGCCACCGCCAUCGCGCUCCGGGCGGCUGCCGACUCCGACCAGGUCUGGGGGAGCUUCCUCCCGGCGGACUGCACCGACAUCCUCGCGCGGUGUAGUGCUGCCGGUGAUGAGCGCCGCCGGGAAGGAGAAACGAAUAAGGAGCUCUUCUCCCGACUCUGCGACUGCCCCGUCUUUCUCGACGGCGGCAAGCUGAGCUUCUCGCUGGAGAGGCAUAGCGGCGCCAAGAAGUACAUGAUAGCUCUGUGGCACGGGUUUGGUGGCUACCAGUACUACGGAUUGGAGGACUCGUCCAGUCACACUUUCACCUUCACUCCAGUGUGCAGCUGCGCUCUAGGGAGGUGA